CCAGACUCCUACGGGAGGCAGCAGUGGGGAAUAUUGCACAAUGGGGGAAACCCUGAUGCAGCAACGCCGCGUGAGUGAAGAAGUCAUUCGUGAUGUAAAGCUCUAUCAGCAGGGAAGAAAAUGACGGUACCUGACUAAGAAGCCCCGGCUAACUACGUGCCAGCAGCCGCGGUAAUACGUAGGGGGCAAGCGUUAUCCGGAUUUAUUGGGUUUAAAGGGUGCGUAGGCGGACUCUUAAGUCAGCGGUAAAAUUGCGGGGCUCAACCUCGUCGAGCCGUUGAAACUGGGUGCCUUGAGUGGGCGAGAAGUACACGGAAUGCGUGGUGUAGCGGUGAAAUGCAUAGAUAUCGCGCAGAACUCCGAUUGCGAAGGCAGCAUGCCGGCUCCACACUGACGCUGAGGCACGAAAGCGUGGGUAUCGAACAGGAUUAGAUACCCCCGUA
rnacentral:rRNA from 1 species